rnacentral:rRNA from 1 species
AAUCAACGCUGGCGGCGUGCCUCAGACAUGCAAGUCGAACGCGAAAGUCCCCUUCGGGGGGCGAGUAGAGUGGCGCACGGGUGAGUAACACGUAGGUAAUCUACCCCCGAGUGGGGAAUAACUCAGGGAAACUUGAGCUAAUACCGCAUAAUGCAGCGGCACCACAUGGUGACAGUUGUUAAAGCAUUUAUGCGCUUGGGGAGGAGCCUGCGGCAGAUUAGCUAGUUGGUAAGGUAAUGGCUUACCAAGGCUACGAUCUGUAACCGGCCUGAGAGGGCGGACGGUCACACUGACACUGAAUAACGGGUCAGACUCCUACGGGAGGCAGCAGUCGGGAAUUUUGGGCAAUGGGCGAAAGCCUGACCCAGCAACGCCGCGUGAAGGAUGAAAUC